rnacentral:rRNA from 1 species
UACGUAGGGGGCAAGCGUUGUCCGGAAUUAUUGGGCGUAAAGAGCUUGUAGGCGGUUUGUCGCGUCUGCUGUGAAAUUUCGGGGCUCAACCCCGAACUUGCAGUGGGUACGGGCAGACUAGAGUGUGGUAGGGGAGACUGGAAUUCCUGGUGUAGCGGUGAAAUGCGUAGAUAUCAAGAGGAACACCUGAGGUGAAGACGGGUUGCUGGGCCGACACUGACGCUGAAGCGCGAAAGCCAGGGGAGCAAACGGG